GUUGGAUUGGGUGAAACUGAAAUGAAUCCCACUGAUGUUUUCCAGGAGAGAUGGUGGCGAUUCGGGCCAAUGACCAAGGGAAAGCUGGGACAAAAGAGAGGUUCACACGGAGAGAUGUCAGCGAUUCGGGCCAAACAACCAAUGACCAAGGGAAGACUGGGACAAAAGAGAGGCUCACACGGUGACAAAGGAACAAAAAGGUAUUGGUCGACAAUAGAGGUGGAUGCAGUUGAAGAUUCCUUGAUGAACUUUAUCCGAAUGGGGAAAAAUGCCUGGAAAACAAGACUGUGAGAAAUGCAUUGCUGCUUCUCCCCAAGCGCUAGUAAACAGGGACUGGAGAGCAGUACAGUUCUAUAGACACAACAGAAUAG